AUGGUUUUCCCAGGAAGGGGAAGGAUCCGUAUCGAUGCUGACAGUGUUCAGAGGGUAUUUGAUCUCCCAAACAGGGGUCAAAAAGUCAAAUAUUUAGUUGACAAGGAUGCCACUAGGAGAUUCAAACAGGAUUUCAACAUAACUGGAAAUUCUCAUCCCCAGAUCACUACAUGGCUUAAGAUGAUUCAGGAUAUGGCUGGAAGAACGGAUGACACAUUCUUUAUGGCCUGGCUUGCGGUUAUACUAUAA
rnacentral:rRNA from 1 species